CCUACGGGAGGCUGCAGUGAGGAAUAUUGGUCAAUGGACGAGAGUCUGAACCAGCCAAGUAGCGUGAAGGAUGACUGCCCUAUGGGUUGUAAACUUCUUUUAUAUGGGAAUAAAACGUUCCACGUGUGGGAUUUUGUAUGUACCAUAUGAAUAAGGAUCGGCUAACGCCGUGCCAGCAGCCGCGGUAAUACGGAGGAUCCGAGCGUUAUCCGGGUUUAUUGGGUUUAAAGGGAGCGUAGGUGGAUUGUUAAGUCAGUUGUGAAAGUUUGCGGCUCAACCGUAAAAUUGCAGUUGAAACUGGCAGUCUUGAGUACAGUAGAGGUGAGCGGAAUUCGUGGUGUAGCGGUGAAAUGCUUAGAUAUAACGAAGAACUCCGAUUGCGAAGGCAGUUCACUGGACUGCAACUGACACUGAGGCUCGAAAGUGUGGGUAUCAAACAGGAUUAGAUACCCUUGUAGUC
rnacentral:rRNA from 1 species